AUUCCAAUUGAUGUCUGAGCCUUUACAGAGAGAAACACGCUGUAGGUCCAAUUCAUUUUAAUAUCACCUUACAUUGCUUACACAACCAACAACUGACAAAACAACCUUUUUGAAAAACUAAGAAAGUGAUCAUACAGGUACGUUAAAGAAGCAGCUGGUCUUCAUGUGUCAGUGUACUCUCCGUCAAAACAUGCUGGGACAACAUGUCUGGGCUGAAACACAGAAAUCACAGUCUGUACAUGGAUGAUUCAUGUCCACGACCAAAUAAUAUAACAAAACACUGAAAAUCCACAGUUUCAGCUGAUCACAUUGUGUUGAAACAAUGAAACUUACCUGAUGGGCUCUUGUAAUACCUCAGUGUCUUCAAAUUCCAAUUCUUCAACAAUGUCCACCUCAACUCCAACCAGCAGUGUCUUGCUCACUGUGCAAAAUAAACAAACAAACAAAAAACAACAAGAUUUACCUGUAAGAUCUAUUGGCAUUAUAACACUGAGAUUUAAAUACUUCUAAUUCCUUAAUUAAAGGGCAUGAAUCAAUGUAUUUCUCAAAUUGAAACCAAAUGACAAACGGUUAUAUCUAAACAUGUACAAAAUGGCGGGCCCUGAUCGUUUAAUGCAUGGAGUUUUGGUCUAAAUCUAGCGAGCUAACUACUGAAAAGGUAUGCAAAAACCACACACACCACCAACAGCCCAGUUAUUAAAGUUUGAACAUGCUAAAUGGCAAUAUUGGUGCCAAUAUGGUUGCCCCCAUUAGUGCCAAUACUGUUGCCCUGUUUUCACAGGGUGUUUCAUCCCGGUCCACAGAACUACACAGUGCAUAUAGCCUGGAUGGCUACUAGGAACGGCAGGUAUGUUCACCUGUCUUUCACAUGACCUUAUUCCAUCAAGUAGUUUCUUGUAAAAACAUACCUCAAAAAAGGGCAAAUUGUUGCAAAGUGUUGUUUUAAUACACAAUUAAAUAAAUAUAAAUAUAAGAAAAAUAAGAAAAAAUAAAUAAAUAUUACAUCAUAGAGUCUUAAAUCCUUACCACCGAGACAAGGGAAAGGUGAGCAAGUCCAUUGUUCUGCAACACCUUCACAGCUUUCUGUUGGCGUAUAAAGACAUGCACAACCAUUCUCCUCACUUCUAUCUGAAUAGCGAUAAGGAUGAUGGUGUACGUCAUGGCUGCUAGUGUGCUCGCGGUAGGGGAAUAUAUGUCCAGUCCACACUUCAGGAGCAUCCUGAUCUUCGUCUAACACCCUGUGAAUGUGGAAGUCUGAUGGGUCUGUAAGGACAGACCCAAAUGCUUCUCCACCACCUUCACAAGGACAGCAUCGUUGUCUGUAUAGAUGUGUGGCUUCAUCACCAUCUGUUUGCACAGAAAUGGAAGGGAGGGAAGAAAACAGUGGGUGGUAGUAGUGGUGUGUGUGUGUGUGUGUGUGUGUGUGUGUGUGUGUGUGUGUGUGUGUGUGUGUGUGUGUUUGUUUUCAAAAGAUUCAAGGAUUAUUGUGACACACUAGCACCAAAAGUGACUCCUUAUAUACUGUAGUAUCUACAACUCAGAGCAUUUCACCCCUUGCUAAUAGAUAGAUCUGCAUUAAAUCAUCACGCAGGACUUUGAAUCAGCAACUCCCAUCGAAAGCCAGUGCCUGGCAUUGAUUAGUGGAUCAUUUCAUAGAAAAAAAACUGUCACUAUCAGCAUGUUUAUGGAUACAUGUUUAUGCAUGUGUUCAUGUCUAUGUGUAUGUGAUGUGCGUGUUUAUGUAUGUGUGUGGGGUGUGUGGUGUGUGGUAUGUGUGUGUGAGUGUGUAGGUGGGGCAUCUCUGCCAUGACAUCAUGUGGCUCCUGCUCCUGCUCCUGCUCCUACUCUGCAGUGAUCCAAGAGGCUUGCUGUGAGGGAAUAUGGCUCUGUGCUGCAAGGCAUCUGCUCACGUUGGCAAGCCUCAAGAUGAAUGCAGAGAAACAGAGAGACUCAACACCGCAGGUGCCUGUUAUUGAACAGCUAAAACAUUUAAAAGUGAAAAA
ensembl:lncRNA